rnacentral:rRNA from 1 species
UACGAAGGGGGCUAGCGUUGCUCGGAAUCACUGGGCGUAAAGGGCGCGUAGGCGGCCGCUCAAGUCGGGGGUGAAAGCCUGUGGCUUAACCACAGAAUUGCCUUCGAUACUGUUUGGCUUGAGACCGGAAGAGGUGAGUGGAACUGCGAGUGUAGAGGUGAAAUUCGUAGAUAUUCGCAAGAACACCAGUGGCGAAGGCGGCUCACUGGUCCGGUUCUGGACGCUGAGACGCGAAAGCGUGGGGAGCAAACAGG